rnacentral:tmRNA from 1 species
GGGGCCGACUGGAUUCGACAUCGUGGGUCUGAGGUGAGGAGCAGGUCGUGGUCUCCUCGCCACGUUAAACAGGGGUCCUGUCAAAUUAAUUGGCAAAAAGAACUACACUGGGCAACUCGCCCUUGCCGCAUAACAUAAGUCGGCACGUCAAUCCCAGGUUCUUUCCCGCCCUGGGUGCGAUGUCAUCUUAGGGAAACGCUCUUCGGCACGUAGUCGGUAUGGCCGAAGCUAAGAUUGAACCGGCUCGGGGGCGUAACGCUUGUCGGCGUGCCGAGCUUCCCCUAAACCUGAACGUUGACUAAGCUUGUAGAGCCUGACCAGGGAUUCGCGUUGGACCGGAGUUCGAUUCUCCGCGGCUCCACCA